GUAGGGUGCGAGCGUUGUCCGGAAUUACUGGGCGUAAAGAGCUCGUAGGUGGUUUGUCGCGUUGUUCGUGAAAUCUCACGGCUUAACUGUGAGCGUGCGGGCGAUACGGGCAGACUGGAGUACUGCAGGGGAGACUGGAAUUCCUGGUGUAGCGGUGGAAUGCGCAGAUAUCAGGAGGAACACCGGUGGCGAAGGCGGGUCUCUGGGCAGUAACUGACGCUGAGGAGCGAAAGCGUGGGGAGCGAAC
rnacentral:rRNA from 1 species